CGGGGUGAGCAACGCGUGAGUAACCUGCCUUUCUAGAGGGGGAUAACGUUCUGAAAAGAACGCUAAUACCGCAUAACAUCAAUUUAUCGCAUGAUAGGUUGAUCAAAGGAGCAAUCCGCUGGAAGAUGGACUCGCGUCCGAUUAGCCAGUUGGCGGGGUAACGGCCCACCAAAGCGACGAUCGGUAGCCGGACUGAGAGGUUGAACGGCCACAUUGGGACUGAGACACGGCCCAGACUCCUACGGGAGGCAGCAUG
rnacentral:rRNA from 1 species